rnacentral:rRNA from 1 species
GGCUCAGGAUGAACGCUAGCGGCAGGACUUAAUACAUGCAAGUCGUGGGGCAGCAUGAGUAGCAAUACUUGAUGGCGACCGGCAAACGGGUGAGGAACACGUACACAACCUUCCUUCAAGCGGGGAAUAGCCCAGUGAAAUUUGGAUUAAUACCCCAUAAUAUAUUUGAUAAGGCAUCUUAUUAAUAUUAAAGCUUCGGCACUUGAUGAUGGGUGUGCGGCUGAUUAGAUAGUUGGCGGGGUAACGGCCCACCAAGUCUACGAUCAGUAGCUGAUGUGAGAGCAUGAUCAGCCACACGGGCACUGAGACACGGGCCCGACUCCUACGGGAGGCAGCAGUAAGGAAUAUUGGACAAUGGACGAAAGUCUGAUCCAGCCAUGCCGCGUGAAGGAUUAAGGUCCUCUGGAUUGUAAACUUCUUUUAUAUGGGACGAAAAAAGGGCAUUCUUGUUCACUUGACGGUACCAUAUGAAUAAGCACCGGCUAACUCCGUG